rnacentral:rRNA from 1 species
UACGUAGGGUGCGAGCGUUAAUCGGAAUUACUGGGCGUAAAGCGUGCGCAGGCGGUGAUGUAAGACCGAUGUGAAAUCCCCGGGCUCAACCUGGGAACUGCAUUUGUGACUGCAUGGCUAGAGUACGGUAGAGAGGGAUGGAAUUCCGCGUGUAGCAGUGAAAUGCGUAGAUAUGCGGAGGAACACCGAUGGCGAAGGCAAUCCCCUGGACCUGUACUGACGCUCAUGCACGAAAGCGUGGGGAGCAAACAGG